rnacentral:lncRNA from 1 species
AACAAAGUUUGCAUCUGGUAGCAUUACUGCCCACCAGCACCUGCCCCGAUGCAUCUAUGUGGUAAGGACAGUGGAAACAGCUCUGUCAAUCAUCCACCAUAUCCACCCCUGCAUGAGUGGAGAGGGAGACCGGCUGGAAGGUGAGUGAGCAGCAACUCCUGUCUCAGGCUUCCACUGAACAGCAGAUUUUCAAUCUCUGCACAAAUUCCCAACAGAAAACUACACUUCAUUUUUCCCUUUAGUAUUGGGAAAUAUUUCAACUGCACAGAAAAGUGCAGCUAAUAUUGUAAAAAUGCCUAUACCAGCUUUAUCAAACUUCAACAUUAAUUUUGUUUAAAAGAAACAAACGUGAACAGAAUAUAGUUGAUAUUCUGGGUUACUCCUCCUAUCCUUUCUCUUCCUCUACCUACUGUCUUGACUUCGCUGUCUGUCAUUCCUAUGCAUAUUUUAUGCACCUUAUACAUUUACAUAAAAUUAAAAUAUAAUUGUUUAUAUGUGUUUACAUAAAUGGCAUUCACUUGCAAACUUGAUUUCUUUUUUAAAAUAUUUUUAUUUAUUCUUUAGUUAUAGGUGGACACAAUUGCUUUAUUUUAUUUUACGUGGUGCUGAGGAUCCAUCCCAGUGCCUCACGCAUGCUAGGUGAGUGGUCUACCUCUGAGCCACAACCCCAGUCUGCAAACUUGAUUUCUUUUACACUCAACAUUAUGUUUGGAAGACGUAUCCUUAGUGAGACAUGCAACUUGAGUUAUUCCUUUUGCUUUGCUUUAUUCCAAUGUGGGACUUCAAACAGUUUAUUUAUCUAUGAUUUGUUCAGAGGCACUUGGGACACUUAACACUUUCAGUCUUGCAAAUAAAGUUUUCAUGAACGUAGUUGUCAUUGUCUUUGGGCACAUGCCCCACGAUGUUUACCCAGGAGUGGAACUGCUGGGACACAGAGUAGGCAUAUCUCUAACUUUAUUAGAUUCUGCCUAUUUUUUUUUCCCCAAGUGAACUAACUUACAUCUCUACCAGCAUUGGAAAGAGUUCCUAUCUCUACACAUUUUCAUCAAUGCUUAGAACAGUCAGACUAAUUUCUGGUCAUCUAGUGGGAAGAAAAUAAUUUUCUCUCUCCCCACCCCUGCACCUUUCUUCCUUUUUUCUUUUAAAAAUUUUCCAGUUUUACCCUGGUGCAUUGGCACAUGCCUGUAAUCCCAGUGGCUCAGGAGGCUGAGGUAGGAAGAUUGCACAUUCAAAGCUAGCCUUGGCAACAUAGCAAAGCCCUGAACAAUUUAAUGGGACCCUGUCUCAAAAUAUUUUUUAAAAAAUUAAGAUGGGGGUGCUGUGGAUGUGGCUCAGUGGUUAAGCUCUCUGUUGCAAAAAAAAAAAAUUUUUGCUCAGCUUUCUAUCUUGUCAAAGUUUACUUGACAAGCAAGAAUUGAAUACACAUUCAAGUUGAACGACACUACUAAUAUAUAGUAUAUAGUAUAUAUGUAUAUAUAUAUACUAUAUUGUAAAAUGAGUCUCACCAUCAAGCUAUUUAACAUAUCCAUUGUCUCACAUAGUUGCAAUUUUCUUGUAUGUGGAGAGAAUACUGCACUCUCUUAACAAAUACAGCACAGUAUUAUGAACCAUUGUAAUCAAGCCGUACAUAUAAUCUCUAUUCCUCCCCUUUUUAAAAACAGUUUUAUCAAGGGCUGGGGAUAAUGGCUUAGUGGUAGAGUGUGAGGCCCUGGGUUCCAUCCUCAGCACCACAAAAUACACACACACACACACACACACACACAGCUUUACUGAGAUAUAAUGCAUAUACCUUCCAGUUCAUCCAUUUAAAGUGUAUAGUCUGCCAGGCGUAGCACACUCCUGUAAUCCCAGUGACUUGGGAGUCUGAGGCAGGACAACCACAAGUUCAAAGCCAGCCUCAACAAUUUGGCAACAUCCUAAGAAACUUAGCAAGACCCUGUCUCAAAAAAUAAAAAGGGCUGGGGCUGGGGCUCAGUGGUAAAGCACUCCUGUGUUCAAUCCCCAGGACCAAAAAGACAAACGAUGUAUAGCCCAGUGUUUCUUUGUAUAUCCACAGCUGUGCACCCAUCACCAUAGUCCAUCAGAGAAUGUUUUCAUUGCCCUCAAAAGAAAUCCUACUCAGCUGUCACUUUGCCCUUCUUGCCCAUCUCCCCACCAUCUCCUUAGCCCUGGGCAAACACUGACCCACUGUCUGUCUUUUUAGAUUUGUCUCUUCUUGACAUUUCAUAUAAGUAGAUCAGGCUGGGGAUACAGCUCAGUAGGUAGAGUGUUGCUUUGCAUGCACAAGCCCCUCCCCCCCAAAAAUCAUAUAAGUAGAUCAAACCUGCAAUUCCAUUAUAAAUUCCUACAACCUGACCAUGAAAGAUUUUAUUAGUUUUUUAGUUUGCGGUGGUCGGGAUGGAACUCAGGGCCUCAAGCAUACUAGGCAAGCCCUCCAACACUAAGCUACAUCCCCAGCCUCCCAGCCCUAUGUUUUUGUAAUUCUUAAAUUUUAGAUAGGCUAUUGCUAAGUAGCCCAAAUUGGCCUUGAACUUAGGAUCCUCCUGCCUCAGUCUCCCAAGAAGCCGGAGUGAUGGAUGAGAGCCACCACACCCAGCUAUUUUUUUUUCUUUAAUGUUGGCAAAUACUUCAAUACAUGGUUGAUACCUAUUUUAAUCUGCAUUUCCCUGAUUAAUAGUGAGUCUGGCAAUUGUCCAAAUGCUUAUUGGUCUUUCAGAGUACCUCAUUUAUGAAUUGCCAGUUUACAUUCUCUUAUUUUAUAUAAGAUUAUUUAUCUUCAUCUUGUUUGUUCAUAAGAGUUCGCUAGAAAAUCACAUAUUAAUCUCUUUCUCUC